AUUGAACGCUGGCGGCAUGCCUUACACAUGCAAGUCGAACGGUAACAGGUCUUCGGAUGCUGACGAGUGGCGAACGGGUGAGUAAUACAUCGGAACGUGCCUAGUAGUGGGGGAUAACUACUCGAAAGAGUGGCUAAUACCGCAUGAGAUCUACGGAUGAAAGCAGGGGAUCGCAAGACCUUGUGCUACUAGAGCGGCCGAUGGCAGAUUAGGUAGUUGGUGUGAUAAAAGCUUACCAAGCCGACGAUCUGUAGCUGGUCUGAGAGGACGAUCAGCCAAACUGGGACGGAGACACGGCCCAGACUCCUACGGGAGGCAGCAGUGGGGAAUUUUGGACAAUGGGCGAAAGCCUGGUCCAGCAAUGCCGCGUGCAGGAUGAAGGCCUUCGGGUUGUAAACUGCUUUUGUACGGAACGAAAAGCCCCGGGUUAAUACCCUGGGGUCAUGACGGUACCGUAAGAAUAAGCACCGGCUAACUACGUGCCAGCCGCCGCCGUAA
rnacentral:rRNA from 1 species